rnacentral:rRNA from 1 species
UACGUAGGGUGCGAGCGUUGUCCGGAAUUAUUGGGCGUAAAGGGCUCGUAGGCGGUGCGGUAAGUCACCUGUGAAAUCUCCUGGCUCAACUGGGAGCUUGCAGGCGAAACUGCCGUGCUGGAGUGUGGGAGAGGUGAGUGGAAUUCCCGGUGUAGCGGUGAAAUGCAUAGAUAUCGGGAGGAACACCUGUGGCGAAAGCGGCUCACUGGACCACAACUGACGCUGAGGCGCGAAAGCUAGGGGAGCAAACAGG